CUUAGUAACUGCGAGUGAAGCGGCAAAAGCUCAAAUUUGAAAUCUGGCGUCUCAGGCGUCCGACUUGUAAUUUGGAGAGGCACCUUUGGAGUUGGCGCUGUCCCAAGUUCCUUGGAACAGGACGUCGCAGAGGGUGAGAAUCCCGUAUCUGGGCAGCUGUCGAAUCUCCAUUUCAGGGUGCUUUCAACGAGUCGAGUUGUUUGGGAAUGCAGCUCAAAAUGGGUGGUAAAUGUCAUCUAAAGCUAAAUAUUGGCGAGAGACCGAUAGCGCACAAGUAGAGUGAUCGAAAGAUGAAAAGCACUUUGAAAAGAGAGUCAAAAAGUACGUGAAAUUGCUGAAAGGGAAGCGCUUGAGAUCAGACUCAACUCCCUGAUGUUACUCCGGGCUUCUGUCCGGUAAUCUACGUCUUGGAUUGAGCCAGCAUCGGUUCUGGCGGUGGGAUAAAAGGUUGGGGAAUGUAGCUUCCUUCGGGGAGUGUUAGAGUCCCGGCCACAAUGCCACCAGCGAGGACCGAGGACCGCGCUUUGGCUAGGAUGCUGGCAUAAUGGUCUUAAGCGACCCGUCUUGAAA
rnacentral:rRNA from 1 species